GGACCCGCACAAGCGGUGGAGCAUGUGGUUUAAUUCGAUGCAACGCGAAAAACCUUACCUACUCUUGACAUACUGGGGCUCUUGUAAUGAGAGUGUGCCUUUUGGAACCAAGAUACAGGUGCUGCAUGGCUGUCGUCAGCUCGUGUCGUGAGAUGUUCCGUUAAGUCGGAUAACGAGCGCAACCCUUACCCUUAUUUGCCAGCGAUUCGGUCGGGAACUAUAAGGGGACUGCCGGUGAUAAACCGGAGGAAGGUGAGGACGACGUCAAGUCAUCAUGGCCCUUACGAGUAGGGCUACACACGUGCUACAAUGGGGAAUACAGACGGACGCUAAGCCGCGAGGUGGUG
rnacentral:rRNA from 1 species